rnacentral:rRNA from 1 species
UACGGAGGGGGCUAGCGUUGUUCGGAAUUACUGGGCGUAAAGCGUACGUAGGCGGCUUGGCAAGUUAGAGGUGAAAGCCCGGAGCUCAACUCCGGAAUAGCCUUUGAGACUGCCUCGCUUGAACGUCGGAGAGGUGAGUGAAUUCCGAGUGUAGAGGUGAAAUUCGUAGAUAUUCGGAAGAACACCAGUGGCGAAGGCGGCUCACUGGACGACUGUUGACGCUGAGGUACGAAAGCGUGGGGAGCAAACAGG